AGCCACAGCAAUGCAGGAUCCAAGCCACGUCUGCAACCUACACCGAAGCCCACGGCAAUGCCAGAUCCUUAACCCACUGAGUGAGGCCAGGGAUCGAACCUGUAUCCUCAUGGAUACUAAUUGAGUUCAUUACCACUGAGCCACAGCAGGGCCUCCAGAAGCCGGGCUUUUGUGCUUAAGCUGUGCUUCCUGACUUCAGCAAGUAUUAUCAAGCGAAGAAAAUGAAAACUCUUGGGGAAGAAAAGGCUAAAGGAAUACAGCCAUCUAAGCAUGAUAAUUUUUCUAAAGUUAGAAGUGUUAUUGUUACGUUUUAGUCCAUGUGAAUAAUAGCAUCCGAAAGUAAAAUUGUGCAGAAAGGUUUGUGGUGGGAAGUAGGCCACCUUCCCAUCACCUCGUGUCUAGAGAGAUGUUUGAACAUCAGCUCGUGUUGGCUCCAGCUGGCUCCGAUGGUAAACCAGUGUUACCUUGAACUUGGCCGUGAUGGGCGUAUGUACACCACAGAAUUAAUCAAACUCUACAAUAGGGCUUUUUGUCCCCAGAGAGAGGGCUUUUCAACCCACCACCACCUUCAGUUCUCCUCUUGGUCAGCAACCACUGUUAGCGAUUUCUCCUGUAUCCUUCUAGAAGUAUUCAAUGCACUUGUUACACACACACACCCCUUUUGAUUGCAAAUGUUAGGAUGCCACACACAUCACUCCGCAUCUCAUUUUCUUCACACCGUUUCUUGGAGAGGGUUCCAUAUUAACAAAUAUAGACCUGCCUCAAUCUUUUCAGCAGGUGCAUAGUAUUCUGUUGUGUGGAUGUGCCCACCUGUGUUUAACCAGUGGCCUCUACGCAGCUAUUUAGAUUGUUUCCAUCCUUGGCUACAGCAAAGGAAGCCAACAUGAAUAAUAUCACCUCUGCUGCUUGUACACAGAAUGUUCAUUUUAAUUCAGCAGGUGUUUAAUCAGGUGUCUGCUCUGGCAAAGUUACCGAACAUUGGGGAAUAACACAUAAAUCCUUCCUCUGAAGUUUCCUUGAGGUCUUUGACAAAGAACCCUCAGCUGAGAUGGACACUUGAGCCCAUCCCAAUGUCUCCAUUUCAGGUCUAAAGAAGCAUGUUAAUCCAGCAAGGAGAGAACGUGCACAUGCAAACUAUAAUCAAAAGCAGGGUAUGAUCAAUGCUGUAACAAAUUUGUCAAUAAAAUAUGGGAGCUCGGGGGAAAAUUAAUUCUGAAGGAAGGAUGAGCAAAAUUCUGUGGAAAAGCCAAGCUCCAACUCAUGGGAAGUGGGCAGGAGCCACGCCUUGCCAUGUCAAUGUCUCCUACAAUGCCAGGUACUUGCCAGAUUUUUAUAAGAGCUGGGGAACUUUGAAGAAUUAUUAGACAUCGGGAGUUCCCAUUGCGGCUCAGUGGGUUAUGAACCUGACUAGUAUCCAAGAGGAUGUGGGUUCGAUACCUGGCUUCGCUCUGUGGGUUAAGGAUCCGGUGUUGCCAUGAGCUGUGGUGUAGGUCACAGAUGCGCCUCCGAUCCCGGGUUGUGGCUGUGGCUGUGGCCGGCAACUGUAACUCUGAUUGGACCCUUAGCCUGGGAACCUCCAUAUGCCAUGGGUGUGGCCCUAAGAAGACCAAAAAAAAAAAUUAUUAGAUACAAACAAAUGUUUUUCUGACUGUGGCAGAUGCCAAGCCGAAGCCAUUGUGAGAAAUGAGAAAUGGAUUCACCUGCAGAGUGUUUAGACUGGAAUGAAUUCCUUUUUGGAAAUGAUGGCAUUUGAGCCUGUCGACUAGAUGGGCUUUUCAAGUCUCAGCCGACCUAGUGAUUUUAUCCACCUGAACACACACACACACACAAUCUAGCCUUGGAGCACAAUUGUAGUCCACUUUGUAAAAAGUUCCUCAACUCAGCCCACCUUAUACCAGCUUGCCUCAGACUGAUGCUGCAUGUACGAGAGAUAUUUCUGUGCUCUCCAGGUCCCUGGUGGCUCCCAGGGCCACCGUCCUUGCAGUUACUGUACCUGUUGUCCGACAACAGAUGCUGAGCCAUCGACCUUUGUCCCCCGCCCCGUGUACCUGUGCUCAGAUUAAAUGCUGGCAGUGCCCUCUUAGUGAACUUGACAUUGCACGCCUCGGCCAGCCUCGUGAUCCCAUAACCAGAGCUGAUGCUCAGAACAAGUCAGCAGUGCUGAUUGAUCCUCUUGUGAAAUCUAGUUUCUCUGAUGGUUUCCUAACAAAAUUCCAGUAAACUGUCAGCUGCCAAGCACUGCUCUUUUCUCAGUGUCCUGUCUCAUUUUUUGGAAGGCAGAGUUUAUCAAUUGAGGCUGUGUGGGCAUGACAUAAAAAAAAAAAGAAAAAGAAAAUUGGGUAAAUAUUUAUCAAGUCUCAAGUCUAUAUAUACUUAAUAACCCACUUUCUGUUGGGCACAAAAACACAGAUAAGCUAGUCAACAUCCACCACCUCCCCUUCAACAGCUCAGGGGCAAGUUGGCAAAAUGGUAGUGAUUUUAUUUUAUCUGGAAUGUCAAAAUUGGGGAGUUCAUUUAAAUAAGAAUUCUGGGAGCUCCCACUGUGGCAGAGUGGGAUUGGCGGUAUCUUGGGAGGGCUGCGACAUGGGUUCCAUCCCUGGCCGGUCAUAGUGGAUUAGGAUCCGGCAUUGCUGCAGCUUCAGCUUAGGUCAAGCCUGUGGCUCAAGGGAGUUCCCGUCGUGGCUCAGUGAUUAACAAAUCCGACUAGGAACCAUGAGGUUGCGGGUUUGAUCCCUGGCCUUGCUCAGUAGGUUAAGGAUCCAGUAUUGCCCUGAGCUGUGGUAUAGAUCGCAGAUGCAGCUUGGAUCGGGUGUUGCUGUGGCUGUGGCAUAAGCUGGCCACAGCUCCAAAUGGACCCCUAGCCUGGAAACCUCUAUGUGCCGUGUGAGCGGCCCAAGAAAUGGCAAAAAGC
rnacentral:lncRNA from 1 species